GUUCUCUUCAAGCACUUCACGA
rnacentral:miRNA from 1 species